rnacentral:rRNA from 1 species
UACGUAGGGUGCAAGCGUUGUCCGGAAUUACUGGGCGUAAAGAGCUCGUAGGUGGUUUGUCGCGUUGUUCGUGAAAACCGGAGGCUUAACCUUCGGCGUGCGGGCGAUACGGGCAGACUGGAGUACUGCAGGGGAGACUGGAAUUCCUGGUGUAGCGGUGGAAUGCGCAGAUAUCAGGAGGAACACCGGUGGCGAAGGCGGGUCUCUGGGCAGUAACUGACGCUGAGGAGCGAAAGCGUGGGGAGCGAACAGG